rnacentral:rRNA from 1 species
GUGGGGAAUAUUGGGCAAUGGGGGAAACCCUGACCCAGCAACGCCGCGUGAAGGCAGAGGGUUUUCGGAUUGUAAACUUCUUUUAUCGGGGACGAAAAAAAUGACGGUACCCGAAGAAAAAGCCACGGCUAACUACGUGCCAGCAUCCGCGCUAAUACGUAGGUGGCAAGCGUUGUCCGGAUCUACUGGGUGUAAAGGGCGUGUAGGCGGGACUGCAAGUCAGAUGUGAAAUACCAAGGCUUAACCUUGGGGCUGAAUUUGGAACUGUAGUUCUUGAGUGAUGGAGAGGCAGGCGGAGUUCCAAGUGUAGGGGUGAAAUGCGUAGGUAUUAGGAGGAACACCAGUGGCGAAGGCGGCCUGCUGGACAUUAACUGACGCUGAGGCGCGAAAGCGUGGGGAGCAAACAGGGUUAAAUACCCUUGUAGUCC